CGGUCCUCGUUUUGGCCACAGUCCGCGUGACCCCAUCCCCCCUCAGCACGCUCGCCUCCUUCGACGGCGCAGUCACCGCGCGGGGCGGCCGCCCGUGAAGUAGUUACCACGUCUUGUGUCAACGACUAAAGCUCCGGGACAGCGGCGCCCUCGGCGACAGCUGGGUGGGCAGCCUGGGCUGAAAGCGGUGGCCCGUAGCUUCCGUGAGAGCGAGCAGCGGAAGCAGCCUCCAGCCUGGCCUCGCCACAGCCGCCCGGCAAGGGAGCCCUGGCAUGCGCGGAAUGCUCCUUGAGCCCUCUUCUGACUGUUACCUUUGGGGGACGGUUGUGGCCACACUGACGUAUUUUCCAAAUAAAUCGUUUAUUCUUGCGGCGGCGGGACCGAACACGUUAAUAUAUUUUUAAUUUACCCAACACUUUUAUCCAGUGAUACAACUUGGUAAGCGUUUCGAGCGAGCAUCCGCCGGGUUAGGAAAUCGCGGACUGAGCAGCUUGCAUUUGCCACGACCGUCCUCAACUGUUUUGAAGAUUCCAUCUUAUAACUACCAGUGUGCACAGACUACUACUCAAGUAACGUCGUGUCCCAGCGAUGCAAAGAACUGAAAUCUCAAGCUGGAAAAGCCUGCAUUAUCUUCAUAAUAGCACAGAAGAAUUCUAGAUAGGAAGGACAGACGGAAACGAAUGAAGACUUUAAAAGAAAAAAACAAACAUCCAAGAUUGAGAAAAACUAUCAGGACUAAGAAGGUAACACAGAGGAAGCUGUCUUCAAGUCCUGUUUGCCUUCUAUGCCUUCAAGAACCUGGUGAUCCUGAAAAACUAGGAGAAUUUCUUCAGAAAGACAAUCUUUGUGUCCAUUAUUUCUGUCUUAUCCUGUCUAGCAGACUGCCUCAGAAGGGCCAACCCAACAGAGGUCUCCAUGGAUUUAUGCCUGAAGACAUCAAAAGGGAGGCAGUACGGGCUUCUAAGAAGAACUUUGUCUGGCAUCUCAUUUGCAGAUCUGCUUUGUAUGCAAGAAAAAAGGAGCUGCUAUCAGAUGCCAGAAUGAUCAGUGUGUCCAGAACUUCCAUCUGCCUUGUGGCCAAGAAAGGGGUUGCCUUUCACAGUUUUUUGGAGAGUACAAAUCAUAUUGUAGAAAACAUCGACCAACACAGAACAUCCACCAGGGGAGUUUGGGGGAGGAAAGCUGUGUCUUGUGUUGCGAAAAUUUAUCCCGAACAAGUGUUGAGAACAUCCAGAGCCCAUGCUGUAGUCAAGCUAUCUAUCACCGCAAGUGUAUCCAGAAAUAUGCCCACACAUCAGCAAAGCACUUCUUCAAGUGUCCCCAGUGCAACAACCGAGAAGAGUUCCCACAGGAGAUGCUGAGGAUGGGGAUCCACAUCCCAGACAGAGAUGCUGCCUGGGAACUCGAGCCAGGGGCUUUCUCCGAGUUGUAUCAGCGCUAUCGGCAUUGUGAUGCCCCCAUCUGUCUGUAUGAGCAAGGCAGAGACAGCUUUGAGGAUGAAGGACGGUGGCGCCUCAUUUUGUGUGCUACGUGUGGAUCCCAUGGAACCCACCGGGACUGCUCCUCUCUUAGACCAAACAGCAAGAAAUGGGAAUGUAAUGAGUGUUUGCCUGCUUCAACCACGAGUUAGGCUGGAAGGAUGGUCUGCUAUUACAUAUCUGAAGACUCAGGCAACACCCCCUGUUGCAGCAGCACCUUCUGCCCCCAUGUGUAUUUCUUAAGGGCUGGCUACCAGCCUGGAAGAGAAUCCCAGCUCUUCUGGACUGAUUGGCUACAAACUUCCCUCUUAGAAAAGCCCGAGUCCUCUGGUGGAAGAAGCUGCCCGUCCUGGUGAUCCAAAGGAUUGCAAAAAAUCCAAGUAAUAGCUUCAGGGCGGUUCCUGCCCAGGACAGUGAGAUACAAAAGAGCGUUGCUGCAUCAGUUUGGAGAGGUAGCACUUUGAAACCAUGAGACUCAAGGGGCUAAGUGAAGAGGUCUCAGGGGACACGGAGUCUUCGUGCCAACAGUGGAAUGUAAGGGCACUCACUGUUCACCAUAAUGUGGCUCUCAUGUGCUUCCUCCAGCUUCACUCACUCAUUUGUUAUUGACAAAUAAAGGUCAUCUCUCCACUCGGG